rnacentral:rRNA from 1 species
AACAGGUCAUGCUGAGGACUCUAUGGAGACUGCCAUCGUAAGAUGUGAGGAAGGUGGGGAUGACGUCAAAUCAGCACGGCCCUUACGUCCGGGGCUACACACGUGUUACAAUGGGGGGUACAGAGGGCCGCUACCACGCAAGUGGAUGCCAAUCCCGAAAACCCCUCUCAGUUCGGACUGGAGUCUGCAACCCGACUCCACGAAGCUGGAUUCGCUAGUAAUCGCGCAUCAGCCACGGCGCGGUGAAUACGUUCCCGGGCCUUGUACACACCGCCCGUCAAGCCAUGGGAGCCGGGGGUACCUGAAGUGCGUCACCGCGAGGAGCGCCCUAGGGUAAAACUGGUGACUGGGGCUAAGUCGUAACAAGG